rnacentral:misc_RNA from 1 species
GAUGAAGAACGUAGCGAAAUGCGAUAAGUAAUGCGAAUUGCAGAAUUUCCGUGAGUCAUCGAAUCUUUGAACGCACAUUGCGCCCCCUGGUAUUCCGGGGGGCAUGCCUGUUCGAGCGUCAUUUCAACCCUCAAGCUCUGCUUGGUAUUGGGCGUCGCCGGGGAGUCUCCCCGGCGUGCCUCAAAGCCAUCGGCGGUGGUGCCUUUCUCUAAGCGUGGUAGAAUUUUUAUUCGCUUCUGAGUUGGGCUUCGCCUGCCGGACAAACCGGGCCCUCGCGGCCCACCUUCUCAGGUUGACCUCGGAUCAGGUAGGGAUACCCGCUGAACUUAAGCAUAUCAAUAAGCGGAGGA